rnacentral:rRNA from 1 species
GAUGAACGCUGGCGGCGUGCCUAACACAUGCAAGUCGAGCGAAGAUAGAGACGAGUACUUGUACAAAUUUUUUAUCUUAGCGGCGGACGGGUGAGUAACACGUGAGUAACCUGCCUUUCACUGGGGAAUAACAUCGAGAAAUCGGUGCUAAUACCGCAUAAUGUCACGAGAUCGCAUGGUUUUGUGACCAAAGGAGCAAUCCGGUGAUAGAUGGACUCGCGUCCGAUUAGAUAGUUGGUGAGGUAACGGCCCACCAAGUCAACGAUCGGUAGCCGAACUGAGAGGUUGAUCGGCCACAUUGGGACUGAGGCACGGCCCAGACUCCUACGGGAGGCAGCAGUGGGGAAUAUUGGGCAAUGGGCGAAAGCCUGACCCAGCAACGCCGCGUGAAGGAAGAAGGUCUUCGGAUUGUAAACUUCUUUGAUCAGGGACGAAUAAAUGACGGUACCUGAAGAACAAGCCAACGGCUAACUACGUGCCAGCAGCCGCGGU